rnacentral:rRNA from 1 species
UACGUAGGGGGCUAGCGUUGUCCGGAAUCAUUGGGCGUAAAGAGCGUGUAGGCGGCCCGGUAAGUCCGCUGUGAAAGUCGGGGGCUCAACCCUCGAAUGCCGGUGGAUACUGUCGGGCUAGAGUGCGGAAGAGGAGAGUGGAAUUCCGUGGUGUAGCGGUGAAAUGCGCAGAUAUCAGGAAGAACACCCGUGGCGAAGGCGGCUCUCUGGGACGGU